UUUUAUGGAGAGUUUGAUCCUGGCUCAGGAUGAACGCUGGCGGCGUGCCUAAUACAUGCAAGUCGAGCGAACGGACGAGAAGCUUGCUUCUCUGAUGUUAGCGGCGGACGGGUGAGUAACACGUGGAUAACCUACCUAUAAGACUGGGAUAACUUCGGGAAACCGGAGCUAAUACCGGAUAAUAUUUUGAACCGCAU
rnacentral:rRNA from 1 species